rnacentral:rRNA from 1 species
GACAGAGGAUGCAAGCGUUAUCCGGAAUGAUUGGGCGUAAAGCGUCUGUAGGUGGCUUUUUAAGUCUGCCGUCAAAUCCCAGGGCUUAACCCUGGACAGGCGGUGGAAACUACCAAGCUGGAGUACGGUAGGGGCAGAGGGAAUUUCCGGUGGAGCGGUGAAAUGCGUAGAUAUUGGGAAGAACACCGGUGGCGAAAGCGCUCUGCUGGACCUGCACUGACACUGAGGGACGAAAGCUAGGGGAGCGAAAGGG